GCGAAAAAUAUCUCAGUUAUUUUUCAUUCAUCAAAUUGUGGACUGCUUCAUAUGGGAUACUGACUGCAUGACCUACUGAUGUAAAAGUGCUGCUUCCGUGGAAGAUGCAGCUUAAAACAACAAGAAAAAGGACUGUUGUUUGCAGCCUCUAGACGUCCCUGCUGCCUCAAAAUGGGCUCAAGCCCUCUCCUGCCAUAUUUUGAACUUUGGAGUGUGCAGAAGAAUGGAAAAAUACGAGUGGUGGGACACAAUGCAAAGUGAAUCUGAGCUGCCCUUAACUUCAGCCUUUGCACUGUGCCAAUACACCUGGAAGAUGCAAUUCAUUCCACCUGGAAUGCUGAUAUUACAAACGCCUAUUUAAACACAGCAGUGUUGGAGGUAACCUCACUUGCCUGGGCACAAGGUUUGAUCAUCUUUUAUGAAUACUGCACCGCUGUUUUAAGAAAAGACAAAU